UUGUGAGGAAAUGUCCCACUUGUUCUUUUUUACAAUCAGAUUCCAUUACUAGCAAGAUGUAACCCAAAGGGUACUCAAAGGAAUGAACUCUGGCAGAUAGAUGUGUUUCACUUUGUAGAAUUUGGAAAAUAGAAAUAUGUACAUCACACCAUUGAUACCUAUUCAGGAUUUCAAUGGGUGACUGCUCUGAGUUCUGAAAAAGCUGAUUCAGUAAUCACGCGUUUGCUAGAAGUUACGGCCAUCAUAGGAGAAGAAAAAGCUGUGGACACCAUCAAAAUUGAUAAAGGUUUGAUUUGAAUAAGAGAGACCUCUUAAUUAGAAGAGGUGAUAGUUCAUCAACCAGCAUGACCAUCCAAUUUAAACUAACUUAUACCACUAACAAAUGCUUUUCAUUUAAUCAGAUAUAACUUGCCAAAAGGGAACCUCCCCAAAGUUAGGCUUGGGGAAGGGUUUUUGGUUUUGUCUUUCAGGAAAAUGAAGGCUAAGGAAUCUGAAGAACACUGGAUAAAUGGGACAUCUGAAGAAAAAGGACAAAUCAUCUAGAAAAAAAAUGUCCCAAGAAAAAGAGUAAAGUGGCCUAUUGUUUUCUGCAGGGAAUCAAUACCAGGCCUAACAGCAAAUUUGAAAUGUCCAGAAAGAUGAUGGGCCCCACAGUGAUGAUUCCACGUGGACAAUAAUAAUACCACUAAGCUGACAAACAUCACCCAAAGAUCAUCUUUGGACUACAAACUGCUCAGGACAAUUUCGAGAUGGCUAGCUGAGAUGAUCCAGCUUCACAGACUAUUCUAGCAAAGACUUGAGAUAAGCCCUGCACUUUUGCAUUAUGCAUAGACUAGACAACAAAUGAUACAGCUAUCUCUCUUAGGACUUGACAAUUAACCCAAAAUUUUUCUUUUCAGAAUCCCCUAAAGAUGCCUCCGCCCACAAACAGCAGGAAGCAAUUUUAAGAACACAAUGACCACAUUCCCAAGAGACAUGUCUGCUCCUGGCAGCACCAAUCUACUUCAGAGAAGAUAUGGGCAUUGAAGAAAAUGCAUAUGGAGUUAACUUUCAUUGCAGUAAAAGUUAGCCACUGGGCAAGAAAGUGCCCUUGCACUGGCUGCUGACAGUAUGCUGUCCAAAAUGGACAAACAGGACACAAAACAAAGGACUACUGAUCCUUGCCAAGACAAGUGUGGUUGUGGCUUUAGCAACAAGCAUCCUCCAAGGAACCAUCGCUGAAGUGGCUUUGCAAUUCAGAAAAGGUACAGUGCCCCUUUCUUCAAAGGCAGCUGAACAGGCAAUGGACCAAUGGCUUCUGGUGUGCAGUGGAACAGUAGCUGAAACAGUUAUUCUUGAAAGAGUAACUAGGCUGACAGAGUCUAUCCUCUCAAUGGUAGACUGGCAUUUAAUAAAGGAGAUGAAGCCACCCACAAGCCAGGAAGAAUGGGAUGCCAAGAUAAAGCCACACACAAGCCAAGAAGAAUUGGCAGCUGAAUUCCAAAAACACCAGCAAUUUCCAGAAUUUAAAAUCCUGAAUCAUGACAGGUCACUGGUGGAAUUCAGGCUUAUCUGGUACAUGGAAUACUCACACCCAAAGUAAGGUUGAGCUGUAAGCCUUGUGUACAUCCUACUUCAUAAAUGAGUCUGUCAGAUAUGAUAAGCCUGAAGGCCAAAGAUGAUGUCCCAAUGUUCAGAGAAACCUGGGGUGACUGUCCAGGAAGCUGGCUGUUUCCAUCAUAACUCAUUUUUUGAAAGUCACUUGUUUGCACUUCCUGUUUUCCUAGAUAACAUUAUUUCCUUCUUGGGUCUCUGAGGGAGUUCAAGAUUAGAUAGUUAUAGUUACAGUUUUCCUUGUUAAGAAAUUCAGAAAAGAAACUCACUAAGAGGUGUUAAGUGUAUAAGUUUGAAAGACACCAUAAGAUAGUUUCCUGUUGGUAGUAUAAGUUAGGAUAGAAAGUGAAAAGUACAUUUUGGACUCAUCAAAAUAGGAUAGAUAAUGGAACAUUUUCUCUAAAUUUGUCAAAUACAAAUGGACUAGACAUUGUUGAUGUAUUUACUGCUUGUAUAUACUAUAUAUAGUUAUUGUACUUACUAUAUAUAGUUUUUCUUAUAUUAGUUAUAACUUUAAAUUGUUUUUCUUUUUAUUAGACAAAAAAGGGGAAAUGUAGUGAUAUUUUAUUUGUGCUGAAAUGUGGUGAUAUUUAUUUGUGCUUUGAUAAAUAAAUCUUGCCUGGAGAAUCAGAGGAAAAAGAAAGCCAUUAUAAGUAAACAAAGAAGUCAGGCAGUGGUAGCACACGCCCUUAAUCCUAUCACUUAGCAGGCAGGAUCUCUGUGAGUUCAAGGCCACACAGGAAACAGAGCCAAGCGUGGUAGCACAUGCCUUAGCUCCACAGCAAGGCACAUAGUCGUGGGUAGACAGGAAGUAACUCACAUUUG